GGCACACUGGAAGCCAGGUGACUUCUUACCGAACACAGAUCAACCAACGUUUAGAACCAGAAGCUCAAAUCCGAUAUUACAAGAGCUAAGAGUUUGAAUCGCGGAUUCAAAAUAAAACACUAAUCGUUUCUAUCUCCUUACAGACAGACGAGACAGCAUGCCGUCUAACUGCGAUCCCUAGCGCUUCCUGCUCGGCGAGACUGGAGAACCGGACGGUGGAUUUGGACUGUGUAUCCGAGCCGAUCAGAAAAUGGUCAUCUUGGGUUCUCCUAAAGCCUUAUAGAGACAACAUAGCGAAGGAUAUAACCUACAGGAUUUUGUUCUUAACCAGUUUUCGAUUAAUUGUCUCUUGGAUACGAGAGUGAAACUGUUGCGCAAUGAAGUUGACGUGGUGGAUAGUCCAACUGCUCCUAUUGGCCAGCGGAAGUGUGUGUUCACUGGAGCGAGCCACACACAACCCAGAAAACAACGUCAUCUGUCCUCAGGCUCUAAACUGCAGGGUGAGAAAUACAGAUCCUAUCACACCACUUGAUGUGGUCUGUGGUUCUGUGUAUGUGUGUUCUCUGGCCGUGAAGCCAAAACUGUGCUGUCACAGGAAUGACUGCAAACCCUGUUUGUGGAUCAACAUCCAGCUGAGUAUUAUUCUAGAUCUCAAAGAGGAGGAGGACAGAGAUAUUGAGAGAUCACAAUAUGAAGAGGAGAGCAGUGGUGAGUCCUUACAGUAACAGCACAUUAGAGUUGUUGGCCUAAUGGUUUAUGCUUACACUAACAUUCUAAUUUCAGGGGACUGGGAUUCGGGAUGUGUUUCCAUGCCAAACGACACAUCAGAAGGUCAAAGGGUAAGUGUUUUGAAUAUUCAUAACAAAAUGUAUUUUUAAAAACUCCAUCUUUAAUUAAAAUCUUUAACAUCUUAUACUUUUUAACAGGAAGACUACUCUCUCUGUGAAGGCCGGCUAGAUCAAGG
rnacentral:lncRNA from 1 species